GGGUCAGUAGGUUGGUCGUGCCACCGGUACGUACUGGUCUCACUGAUUCCUCCUUCCUGAAGAACCGUAAUGCCAUUAAUUUGGUGUUGCGGGGAAACAGGACUGUUACUUUGAAAAAAUUAGAGUGUUUAAAGCAAGCUAACGCUUGAAUACAUUAGCAUGGAAUAAUGAAAUAGGACGAUCGAUCCUAUUUUGUUGGUUUCUAGGAUUGACAGA
rnacentral:rRNA from 1 species